rnacentral:misc_RNA from 1 species
AAAGUCGUAACAAGGUUUCCGUAGGUGAACCUGCGGAAGGAUCAUUACACGUAUUACGGGGGGGCAAGAAUGAGGGAGCAUGUAACCCAUGCGCUCUGUUCAAGCCCUUCUGAAUAUUCUACCCAUGUUUUUUGCGCACUAUUUGUUUCCUUGGUGGGCUUGCUCGCCAAUAGGACACCAUAAAACCUUUUGUAAUUGCAGUCAGCGUCAGAAAUAACUUAAUAGUUACAACUUUCAACAACGGAUCUCUUGGUUCUG